UAACAGAAAUGUUUUGUAAGCCCGAUCUAUAUACACCCAUAAUAAGGAGUUAGGAUGCACUAAAUUCUCUCAGAGAAGCAAUCUAAAAUACCUGAGCCUUUGGAGGAACAAAUGGUCAUUUCCUGAGAUGAGGAAACCCAGGCACUGUGAAGUGAAAUAACUAGCCCAGGUUCCCACAGCCAACCAGGAUGUUAACUGUGGUUAAUUGACUGCAAAGCCUGUGCAUAAUUUGAGCUUACAAACUACCUCCGAUUGCUGUAGCCACAAAUUUCUAGGAGAGUGGCCAGUGCUACUUUUCUACGAAAACAGAAAUCAAGAAACAAAGACCAACUCUGAAUGAAAACGAGAAUGAUUGUAUCUUUUAUUUUAAAAGGACUUAACAUUUUUCCUUUUUCCUAACUUAAAAACAAUGCAAAUGUGUUUUUGUACUUUGGCCUGUACUUCCUUGGGUUGG
rnacentral:lncRNA from 10 species